rfam:Oreochromis niloticus linkage group LG15, whole genome shotgun sequence.
GGCCUCAUAGCUCAGUGGUUAGAGCACUGGUCUUGUAAACCAGGGGUCGCGAGUUCAAUUCUCGCUGGGGCCU